ACGGCCAUGGGUCCGUUUUUUUGCAGACUCGAACCUGUCACGUCGAUAUCUGGCACUUCUUUUGGGGUGAAUCAUUGUGGUUACCGGUAAAUGAACUCCAAAUGAAGAAAUAGCAUGAUUUACAACAACACGCGUUUGUGGGUCAGAAAGUGACGUCAAAUGAACAUUAGCCUAUGGUGAAUUUAAACUUGACAUAAAUGUGAUCAAAACUCACACAUGUAGGUUUAAAAAAACAUACCCACCUCUUCAAAUCAAACACGAUGAUAAAGACAGAAUCUGUCAUUUUUGUGAUUAAAACAAUUUAGACUGUUGUGAUCAGUUUGAGAAGAAAUACAUAUUCCAUGUUCAUGCUGUUGAAUCGGUGACGUAUUGAAUAUAAACGUAUAGGAAUGAAAUAGGUCUAGAGCAAUUCAUUAUUUUUGUUGAUUACUUUAAAUGUAUGCCCAAUCAUUACGUGUAUCUAUGCCCUUUGAUUACUUGUUUCACGAACCUGGGUGAUUUGAAAGAACACGAAAAGGCUUGAACGCUUCUUCUUCUUUGUGUAUUUCAGAUAAGGGGUUUAACAUUGACAAAAUCUUUUCACACUAGACGGCGCUCUCGCAUACCAAUGAUGUGCAGUGCGCAUUGGGCACCUCCAAAAAAGCCUCGGUUAUCUGAGGAAAGGGGCAUUUUGAUCAGCUACCAGGGUAAGAAGAUGCCACCACCCCACCUCCACUCCUCUAUUGGCGUCAAUUUACCCCAACAGAGGAUUGUGCCAUAGGGUUUCACAGAUGUGUCCCUAUUUUUACCUCACUUGCACAUACAUUCUCUUUUUUCUUUGACCUUUUCCUUACAAACAUUAUGUACAGUUCAUCUAAACCCAUGAUCAUUUGAAUAAGGCAAGAUUUUAAAUCCCAUCAGUCUUUAAAAUGAAAUUCAAGAGCAAAAGGUUUUCAAUAGUUUGUAAUGUUUAUACAAUUUUUUGAACACAUUUAUUAGAAUAUAACUGAUUAAAUAUUGAUUAAACACACACACAUUUUCAAUAGCAUUCAGGG
ensembl:lncRNA